GAUUUCUGGCUUGAAACAUUUUGCCGGCCACGGUUUCGUGUGUUAGUGCUUGAUGUUCUGGCCAUCCUUCCAAUCGCUGAUGACCUUUCUUCAUUGAUUGGUCAUUGGUAUUGGAUCUUUUACUUUGAAAAAAUUAGAGUGUUUCAAGCAGGCUUUAUGCUAUGAAUACAUUAGCAUGGAAUAAUAAUUUAGGACUUCGGUUCUAUUUUGUUGGUUUCUAGGACUGAAGUAAUGAUUGAUAGGGAUAGUUGGGGGUGCUAGUAUUCAGCGGCCAGAGGUGAAAUUCUUGGAUUCGCUGAAGACUAACUUAUGCGAAAGCAUU
rnacentral:rRNA from 1 species